rnacentral:rRNA from 1 species
UGGGGAAUUUUGGACAAUGGGCGCAAGCCUGAUCCAGCCAUGCCGCGUGCAGGAUGAAGGCCUUCGGGUUGUAAACUGCUUUUGUACGGAACGAAAAGGUGCCUUCUAAUAAAGGGCGCUCAUGACGGUACCGUAAGAAUAAGCACCGGCUAACUACGUGCCAGCAGCCGCGGUAAUACGUAGGGUGCGAGCGUUAAUCGGAAUUACUGGGCGUAAAGCGUGCGCAGGCGGUUUUGUAAGACAGAUGUGAAAUCCCCGGGCUUAACCUGGGAACUGCGGUUGUGACUGCAAGGCUGGAGUACGGCAGAGGGGGGUGGAAUUCCACGUGUAGCAGUGAAAUGCGUAGAGAUGUGGAGGAACACCGAUGGCGAAGGCAGCCCCCUGGGCCUGUACUGACGCUCAUGCACGAAAGCGUGGGGAGCAAACA